GUUUAAAUAGUUUAUAAUAAGAAUUAUAAUUUGUGGUAUUAUAGGAGUAAAAGUUUAAUUACUUUAGACC
rnacentral:tRNA from 1 species